rnacentral:rRNA from 1 species
AGUGAACGCUGGCGGUAGGCCUAACGCAUGCAAGUCGAACGGCAGCACAGUAAGAGCUUGCUCUUACGGGUGGCGAGUGGCGGACGGGUGAGGAAUACAUCGGAAUCUACUUUUUCGUGGGGGAUAACGUAGGGAAACUUACGCUAAUACCGCAUACGACCUACGGGUGAAAGCAGGGGAUCUUCGGACCUUGCGCGAUUGAAUGAGCCGAUGUCGGAUUAGCUAGUUGGCGGGGUAAAGGCCCACCAAGGCGACGAUCCGUAGCUGGUCUGAGAGGAUGAUCAGCCAAACUGGAAAUGAGACAAGGGCCAGACUCCUAAGGGAGGCAGCAGUGGGGAAUAAUGGACAAUGGGCGCAAGCCUGAUCCAGCCAUACCGCGUGGGUGAAGAAGGCCUUCGGGUUGGAAAGCCCUUUUGUUGGGAAAGAAAAGCAGCAGGUUAAUACCCCGCUGUUCUGACGGUACCCAAAGAAUAAGCACCGGCUAACUUCGUG